rnacentral:rRNA from 1 species
UUGGAGGGCAAGUCUGGUGCCAGCAGCCGCGGUAAUUCCAGCUCCAAUAGCGUAUAUUAAAGUUGUUGCAGUUAAAAAGCUCGUAGUUGAAUUUCGGGAUCAAAUUGUUGGUCGUGCCUCGGUACGUACUGGUAUUAUUGGUUUCUCCCUUCUGACGAACCAUGAUGUCAUUAAUUUGAUGUCAUGGGGAAUCAGGACUGUUACUUUGAAAAAAUUAGAGUGUUUAAAGCAGGCUCGCGCUUGAAUACAUUAGCAUGGAAUAAUGAAAUAGGACGUUUGAUUCUAUUUUGUUGGUUUCUAGGAUCGACGUAAUGAUUAAUAGGGAUAGUUGGGGGCAUUAGUAUUCAAUUGUCUGAGGUGAAAUUCUUGGAUUUAUUGAAGACUAACUACUGCGAAAGCAUUUGCCAAGGAUGUUUUUAUUAAUCAAGAACGAAAGUUAGGGGAUCGAAGACGAUCAGAUACCGUCGUAGUCUUAACCAUAAACUAUGCCGACUAGGGGAUCGGAUGAUGUUAAUUUUUAAUGUACUCAUUCGGCGUC